ACCUCUUCUUUCAGAAAGCAGCUCUGAUGUUCAUUGUAUCUGCUCUCCUCUAUCUGCUGAUGUGACAGCUAGCACAGAUACUAAAGAGGUAUUACUCUAAGGAGAUUUCACACAUUCUGCUAAUGCAAAAGAGGAGAUUAAAGCCCAAUGGGGAGAAACUGGACUGCAUCUCAACCAUGCAACUGGUCUAUGAAUUUGACCUUUCAACAACCUGCUGACCGAGGAUUCCCCAGGAGCCUCAGAUCAAGGAAAUAACAUCCCCCCAGAAGAGAGAAUAAAAACAGAAUUAAAAAAAAAGAAAGAAAGAAAGUCUGAUACCCGGCUAUGCUGGUAUCUUUCUAAAGCACUAACACCAUAAUAAAGGCUUUCCGCUUUUGUUUCAUUAUGUGGCAGCCAGAGCCUAUAAACACUGUCGGUGGUAGAGAAAACAGCGUCUAGAAACAAAUAAGAAAAACUAAAGAUGAAACUGGGAAUAUGUGCAUGGCUUACACUUUGGUAUUCUGUGGUCAUGACAGCUUUUGCUCUUAUGAAAGUACGGUGUGUGCUGUUCUUUUUCUCUGUAAUGAUUUCUGAAACCGUGUGACUUGCAGAAUUUGCCUUUUUAAAAAAAAUGCAGUGAGUGUUUAAUCGUUCGGGGUGUGAGUAACCACAUUCUGUUCAAGUACGCUUCCAGCCUUCCCGCUCCUCCUUAUCAGCGACAGUACUCCAAACACUUGUCUCAAUUUUCAGAUCAAAGCUGAUGAAAAACAGACCU